rnacentral:rRNA from 1 species
AUGAACGCUGGCGGCGUGCUUCACACAUGCAAGUCGAACGAAGCAUUUAGGACAGAUUACUUCGGUUUGAAGUUCUUUAUGACUGAGUGGCGGACGGGUGAGUAACGCGUGGGUAACCUGCCUUGUACUGGGGGAUAGCAGCUGGAAACGGCUGGUAAUACCGCAUAAGCGCACAAUGUUGCAUGACAUGGUGUGAAAAACUCCGGUGGUAUAAGAUGGACCCGCGUCUGAUUAGCUAGUUGGUGAGAUAACAGCCCACCAAGGCGACGAUCAGUAGCCGACCUGAGAGGGUGACCGGCCACAGUGGGACUGAGAAACGGCCCAGACUCCUACGGGAGGCAGCAGUGGGGAAUAUUGCACAAUGGAGGAAACUCUGAUGCAGCGACGCCGCGUGAGUGAAGAAGUAAUUCGUUAUGUAAAGCUCUAUCAGCAGGGAAGAUAGUGACGGUACCUGACGAAGAAGCUCCGGCUAAAUACGUG